GGCGAUCAGAUACCGCCCUAGUUCUGACCGUAAACGAUGCCAACUAGCGAUCCGCCGGCGGAUUCAUUCGCCCCGGUGGGGAGCUUCCCGGAAACGAAAGUCUUCCGGUUCCGGGGGAAGUAUGGUUGCAAAGCUGAAACUUAAAGGAAUUGACGGAAGGGCACCACCAGGAGUGGAGCCUGCGGCUUAAUUUGACUCAACACGGGGAAACUCACCCGGCCCGGACACCGUAAGGAUUGACAGAUUGAUAGCUUUUUCAUGAUUCGGUGGAUGGUGGUGCAUGGCCGUUCUUAGUUCGUGGAGCGAUUUGUCUGGUUUAUUCCGAUAACGAGCGAGACUCUGGCCUACUAAAUAGUUGGCACAUUGCCACUGUGUGCCCAACUUCUUAGAGGGAUUUUCGGUGUUCAGCCGCACGAAAUUGAGCAAUAACAGGUCUGUGAUGCCCUUAGAUGUCCGGGGCUGCACGCGCGCUACACUGGCAAAAUCAGCGUGCUUGUCCUCCCCCGAAAGGGGUUGGUAAACCGAUGAAAAUUUGCCGUGAUUGGGAUCGGACAUUGCAAUUAUUGUCCGUGAACGAGGAAUCCCUUGUAAGGGCGAGUCAUCAACUCGUCCUGAAUACGUCCCUGCCCUUUGUA
rnacentral:rRNA from 1 species